CUGGCUCAGGAUGAACGCUAGCUACAGGCUUAACACAUGCAAGUCGAGGGGCAUCAGGGUCUGUGCUUGCACAGAUUGCUGGCGACCGGCGCACGGGUGAGUAACGCGUAUCCAACUUCCCCUUAGUAGAGGAUAGCCCGGCGAAAGUCGGAUUAAUACUCUAUGUUGUUCGAUGCGGACAUCUAAGUUGAACCAAAGGUUUACCGCUAAGGGAUGGGGAUGCGUCUGAUUAGGUAGUAGGCGGGUAACGGCCCACCUAGCCAACGAUCAGUAGGGGUUCUGAGAGGAAGGUCCCCCACAUUGGAACUGAGACACGGUCCAAACUCCUACGGGAGGCAGCAGUGAGGAAUAUUGGUCAAUGGACGAGAGUCUGAACCAGCCAAGUAGCGUGCCAGGAUGACGGCCCUAUGGGUUGUAAACUGCUUUUAUGCGGGGAUAAAGUGAGGGACGUGUCCCUUAUUGUAGGUACCGCAUGAAUAAGGACCGGCUAAUUCCGUGCCAGCAGCGGC
rnacentral:rRNA from 1 species